CCCUUAGAUGUCCGGGGCCGCACGCGCGCUACACUGAAGGAAUCAGCGUGGUUUUCUCCCUGACCCGAAAGGGUUGGGAAACCCGUUGAAUCUCCUUCGUGAUAGGGAUUGGGGCUUGAAAUUGUUCCCCAUGAACGAGGAAUGCCUAGUAAGCGUGAUUCAUCAAAUCGCGUUGAUUACGUCCCUGCCCUUUGUACACACCGCCCGUCGCUCCUACCGAUUGAAUGUGUUGGUGAGGAGCUCGGAUUGGCAGCAGUUGGUGGUUCGCCACCGGCUAUUGCUGAGAAGUCCUCCAAACCGCCCCAUUUAGAGGAAGGAGAAGUCGUAACA
rnacentral:rRNA from 1 species